UCGAUUGAGAGUUUGAUCCUGGCUCAGGAUGAACGCUGGCGGCGUGCUUAACACAUGCAAGUCGAACGAUGAAGCCGGAGCUUGCUCCGGUGGAUUAGUGGCGAACGGGUGAGUAACACGUGAGUAACCUGCCCCUGACUCUGGGAUAAGCGUUGGAAACGACGUCUAAUACCGGAUACGAGCUAGGACCGCGCAUGGUCACUAGUUGGAAAGAAUUUUGGUCAAGGAUGGACUCGCGGCCUAUCAGCUAGUUGGUGAGGUAAUGGCUCACCAAGGCAUCGAUCAGUAGCUGGUCUGAGAGGAUGAUCAGCCACACUGGGACUGAGACACGGCCCAGACUCCUACGGGAGGCAGCAGUGGGGAAUUUUCCGCAAUGGGCGCAAGCCUGACGGAGCAACGCCGCGUGAGGGACGAAGGCCUCUGGGCUGUAAACCUCUUUUCUCAAGGAAGAAGACAUGACGGUACUUGAGGAAUAAGCCACGGCUAAUUCCGUGCCAGCAGCCGCGGUAAUACGGGAGUGGCAAGCGUUAUCCGGAAUUAUUGGGCGUAAAGCGUCCGCAGGCGGCCUUGAAAGUCUGUUGUUAAAGCGUGGAGCUCAACUCCAUUUCAGCAAUGGAAACUACAAGGCUAGAGUGUGGUAGGGGCAGAGGGAAUUCCCGGUGUAGCGGUGAAAUGCGUAGAUAUCGGGAAGAACACCAGUGGCGAAGGCGCUCUGCUGGGCCAUAACUGACGCUCAUGGACGAAAGCCAGGGGAGCGAAAGGGAUUAGAUACCCCUGUAGUCCUGGCCGUAAACGAUGAACACUAGGUGUCGGGAGAAUUAACCCUUCCGGUGUCGUAGCCAACGCGUUAAGUGUUCCGCCUGGGGAGUACGCACGCAAGUGUGAAACUCAAAGGAAUUGACGGGGGCCCGCACAAGCGGUGGAGUAUGUGGUUUAAUUCGAUGCAACGCGAAGAACCUUACCAGGGUUUGACAUCCUGCGAAUCCCUUGGAAACUUGGGAGUGCCUUCGGGAACGCAGUGACAGGUGGUGCAUGGCUGUCGUCAGCUCGUGUCGUGAGAUGUUGGGUUAAGUCCCGCAACGAGCGCAACCCACGUCUUUAGUUGCCAGCAUUCAGUUGGGCACUCUAGAGAGACCGCCGGUGAUAAACCGGAGGAAGGUGUGGAUGACGUCAAGUCAUCAUGCCCCUUACAUCCUGGGCUACACACGUACUACAAUGCUACGGACAAAGGGCAGCAAACUCGCGAGAGCUAGCAAAUCCCAUAAACCGUGGCUCAGUUCAGAUCGUAGGCUGCAACUCGCCUACGUGAAGGAGGAAUCGCUAGUAAUCGCAGGUCAGCAUACUGCGGUGAAUACGUUCCCGGGCCUUGUACACACCGCCCGUCACACCAUGGAAGUUGGCCAUGCCCGAAGUCGUUACUCCAACCCGCAAGGGAGGAGGACGCCGAAGGUGGGGCUGAUGACUGGGGUGAAGUCGUAACAAGGUAGCCGUACCGGAAGGUGCGGCUGGAUCACCUCCUAA
rnacentral:rRNA from 1 species